AGACUACAUGUUGACAAUAACAUUAUUUUGUUAAAAAAAACUAUAAAUAUUUGAAAACAUGGUUAAUGUUAAGAAUAUUUACCAUUAACAAUGUAGAAAAAAACUUUUUUCGUAUAUAAAAAUGAAAGUAAACACCCGCGCGUUGCGCUGUUCAAGGUCUAGUUGUACAUUAAAGAGCAAACAAACGGCAGAAGCAAAAAUGAUUACGUUAAUGGCGGGGCUCCUGUGUUCGUAAUGCUAAGACCAUUAUUAUUGGGGUCUCUUAAGCCCCGUAUUUAGUGUUUUUAGAUUAAAAAAGAAAAAGAAAAUUACCUAAUUAGUUAAGCAACAUUGCUUAAUUUAGGCCCAGAAGAGACGGAUCUUGUGGGACGCCUGUCACACUCUCCCGUUUCUUUCUCUCUCUCGAAAGUCAUCUCCUCUCCUUCUUCUCCGAUUUAUGCACCGAGAUCCUCCAAGCUCACGGCUGGGGCUCAAGCUCAAGGAUUUUGUGACUGGGUUUCACAAGAGGAAGAAGAAGAGAAGAAAGGAAGCUCAGAAGCAGCAGGAGGAAUCGUUGAGGCGAAAGCGUAUCGAGGCUCGUAAGAAGAGGAAAUUGGAAGAGAUGAUGGUCGCUGGGAAUGCUGAGGAAACUGAAGAUGUAGAAGCUGAGGUGGAAGAUGCAGAGAAUAAAGAGGCAGAGCUUGAUGCUUUUUUAUAGUGAUCAUAUUAGAUUAGAUGUUUAGUAAAGAAGAGUGAAAGAGUAGCAUUAUGUCUUAUACAGGGAGACCAACAAGGGAGCCGACAUCUCAGGUAACAUAGAAGCUUUCAUCUCAGAAGAAGACUUUGGUUCUGUCACUCUGUUGUAAAGCAAGUCUAGUUUUUUGUCUCUUGUUUUGUUGUGUCAUUGUGUUGUAUUGUAGACUGUUUUUUUGUGUCACCCUCAUGUAUCACUUUUCUAUUUUGUAAUCUUGUGUACUCAAGGACUUGUGUAUUCACGUGAUUACUAGUGACUUGUGUACUCUGAUUCUCU